rnacentral:lncRNA from 1 species
GAUGUCAGCUGAGCUCUGGCUAUUAAGUUACUAUUGCUUUAAAUACUCCUUUAAACCCAUGACCCAUCUAGCAGCUCUCAGAUGGCAUAUAAAAUGAGAGGAAAAGAGCACCUGAUCGGGCUGACAUCAAGAGAUCACAAGUGUUUGCAGGUUUUCCAGAGUGUUUAGGAAUAAAAGAGCAGUGAGUCAAAGUGUGUGGAAGAAGGAGCAGGAGCAGAGGAAAAGGUGUUGGUCCCAGCGGGUGGGAAAGAAUUAACAGUGCGGAGAGUAGGGGGGAGGAAGGUCAGUUUUGUUUGCACGAAACCUGCCUUUGUGGCCUGGGAUAUGACUGUAAAAUGUUUAACCGGGGGUCAAAUAUGGGCUUUGGACAAAGGUAGAAGGGGGCAGCCGGUGAACAUUGGAAGUGUUUUAAUCUGAAAUAGCCUCUCAAGGUGGAAGGCAGGAGGAGGUGAAUACGAGGCAAAGGGAAGUGGGUCUUGGGAGAAACCUGGUCAGCAGGGCAUCCCUCAGGUCGGGGGCAGGGCCUCCGGGUGUUUCAGGUCUCACUCAUUCCAUACACACUGGAACAGUUCCCUGCCACUGCUCUGCAAAUGCUGAUAACAGCUCCACAGAGAAUUCUCUGCCCUGACAAAAAAGGUGAGCUUCCAGAAACCUGGGACCUCAGUGAACUUGCAAGACGCCUCUAAUAAAGGAAAACAACUGAGGAAAACUGUUGAAGUGAUGAAGAAGGAGGUUACCUUCUAGGACUCCCCCGGUGCUGUCUUUCUGCGGAGCCCCCUUCUUCUCAGCCUCUAACCAGCCACCCGGGGAGCUGAGUCCUUCCCCCCGGCGCCCAGGCUGCUGCGCGGAGCUCAGACACACGUCCAUAGCCGGCUGUCCCAAAGACAGCUGUGCAUUGAAAAGCAAUCUACAAAAGAACGACUAUAAUCUACUGACUGACUGUUACUAGUUCAGCACAUCUAUGAUCUACAUCGCAUGUUCGUAAUUAAUACAGAAUUGGAAAUGACUCCUUGUUAGUAUGCCCAAAAUAAUUUUGAAUUGUUACACGUAUCUUUACCUUAUGCAGCAGAAGAGAUGUGAGGCUUCUGUGCACUCUUUAAUCCCCAGUGUUUUAUAUAGGUCUACACCUGAAAGGAUUAGCAUUUGAUGAACAAAAUCCAGCCAGUGGAAGCCCAAGUUAUUUAGGGUAGCAUUAUCUACCAGUCCUCAUAGACACAUUACUUUGCUAGAAUUCUCUCUCUUUCUCUCUCUCUCUCUCUCUCUCUCUCUCACACACACACACACACACACACACACACGCACAGUCCUAGCAACAUUCAAUGGAAUUCCCUUCAAAAGUUUCAGGAAUAUCACUGGAACAGAACAGAGGCUGCCCCUGUGGCAUCCAGUUGCUGCGAUGUGGUUCGAAACGUUAGACUUCCAGUUCACUUUUCAAAGAAGUGGGUGUUGGACAGUUGCACAGACUUGCAAAUUUUGUGCUCAUUUGCCAAACUCCAGUAGCCACAGGGAGGACAUGCCCACCCAGCCUCUGCCUAGGACCCGUAUCCAGGCAGCCAGAAAGAACACAAGGAUCUACCAAGAGGAAGGGAAUGCUUUGGGGAGGAAGAAAGGAGAGCAUCUAUCCAUGAGAAGGGACGGGAGUCAAAGGCUUAACGUUGAAUCUGGGGGAUUUAGAGCAGAGGGAAGAGGAAAUCAGAAAAACUCUUCCAAGAAAAAGUAAGCCAUUGUGAUUUAUUUAACUGAAAUAAGGGAUAGUCAAAAGGGAAGGAGAAAAAUCAUGUGCUCAUUUGUGAAGCUCAGAAACCCUUAAAAUAGAAUAUAGGUCACACAAAGUAAAGCCUCAGACAAAUGGGAAUUAAAGAAUCACUUGUGAUAGGCUACAUUCAACCAGGGAGUUGGAUGAAUGGUGUUUUAACCUGAGUAGAUAUAAAAGCCCAUUUUUGUUUUUGUACCCACCCUCGGUACUCGUUUCUCUGGUGUCACUAUUUUGUGUUCUUUAUGUCAGUUUCUUUUCACUCAGGAUGUUCAUCUAGAUGUGCUGUGGUCCCAUGUAAAUCACCUUUCCCACUUUCUUAAAUGACUGGGGAUAAGCCGGCAUUUGUUCCAGCUCUAUCGUUCUAAUGCUUUCUUAUUCCCCAAAUGCAUCUAGUUCUAUGAUUGCAUUCUGCAUCUCUGCAACUUAUUUCUUCCAGGUGUCAUCAGUCCCUAUGAGAAAUAGCAAAAAGAUAGUCAUCAGUACAAUUCUACAAAAACCUUUUAAAAACUGAUUGCAAUGUACGUGAAUAUAUGUGUGUAUAUUUAUAUGCAUGUAGACACACACAUAGACAAACAUAUGCGUUCAUUCUACAAGCUUUAAAAUGAAGCAAAGGACGAAGGAAAAAAUGUUGAUCUCCUUUAAUUCUACUAUCUAGAGAAAGAAACCUCACCAACUUUUUUUUUUGUAUCAACUUCUAGGCUUAUUUUUUUUGUAUAAACUUUUUUAAAGCUAUUUUACUGAAAAUGUGACUUGAUAGAAACAUGUACCUCUUUAACCUAGCAUCCUAUUAAGAGUUCCUUUUUAGGAUGAGUUCAUGUCCUUUGCAGGGACAUGGAUGAAGCUGGAAACCAUCAUUCUCAGCAAACUAACACAGGAACAGAAAACCAAACACCACAUGUUCUCACUCAUAAGUGGGAGUCGAACAAUGAGAACACAUGGACACAGGGAGGGGAACAUCACACACCUGGGCCUGUCAGGGGGUGGGGGACUUAGGGGACGGAGAGCAUUAGGAGAAAUACCUAAUGUAGAUGAUGGGUUGAUGGGUGCAACAAACCACCAUGGCACGUGUAUACCUAUGUAACAAACCUGCACAUUCUGCAUGUGUACCCCA